UAGAGGUAUGUAGAAUCACAUGCUCCCAAAACAGCAUAAGUGGAGGAGGCAUCAUGAAAAGCUGAGAGUACAGAGAAGGUGUCAGAAAUGUGCAGAAAGAUGUGAAAGAGGAAAAAGAAACAAGAGAAUCUCCUUCUAGUAUUUUCUCUGUCCCCAACUUGCGCUGAGGACUCCUCCAUUACUGUGAAAGGCUGGAGAGAAAGGAAAGUGAAAGUGGAGCAGCACCUCUCCUGGGAUCACUCAUCUCUAACACUGGCACCUGGCAAACCGGGACCUGGAACUACAGCAUCCUGAGCAGUACAGCUGAAGGUAGCAAUGUCUCCCUGUGCCUCUGAGGAGUUUAUCCUGCAAACGCCAUGCCUGGAAGGCAACUGUUACAGAGUGUUCAAGGAUUCAGGAAAAGACAUGAAAGCACAAAAGAGAUCAUGCUAACCACUCAUUUUGUCUUUCAAAGUGCCACUUGCCAACUUACAAACACGGCCGUAACUUCCCUAAGACUAACUUUUCCCAAGACUUCCUAUUUGUACAAUGUGUACUACACUAAUGCCUAAGACCUCCUACUACCAUGAAA